ensembl:rRNA 5S_rRNA 5S ribosomal RNA
CCUUAAUGUCAUAUCACCCUGAGCAUAGCUGGUGUGAUCUGACCUUGUUAAUACUUGGAUGGGAGACUGCCUGGGAAUACCAGAUACUGCAAGCU